GACGAACCGUGCGAACGUUAUUCGGAAUCACUGGGCUUAAAGCGCGUGUAGGCGGGCCGCCACGUCGGCUGCUGAAAUCCCCCGGCUCAACCGGGGAAGGGGCACCGAUACGAGCGGCCUGGAGGGGGGUAGGGGGGUCUGGAACUUCCGGUGGAGCGGUGAAAUGCGUUGAUAUCGGAAGGAACGCCGGUGGCGAAAGCGAGCUGCUGGACCUCUGCUGACGCUGAGGCGCGAAAGCCAGGGGAGCAAACGGG
rnacentral:rRNA from 1 species